AUGCACAGUGUUUCCCAAAAGCCCUGUAUCCUUGGGAGCAACCAAGAUGUAAUCGGUCAGAGAAAUGGUUUCUUCCUGGAUCCAUGUGAGUUAAACUGUUGUGGGACUGGAGACACUCGCGCCUGCAGAGUUGUGGUGACAAGCAAGCCCUCCUCUUUGCUCCCUGUCUGAAGUCUGCAUAUUCCAUGAAUCCUUGAGGGAGCCUGAUUCUUAUAAGGCAGGGGUCACUAAAGGAACCACAACAGUGUCUCCCUUGGAGAAAAGGAAAGGAAAUCACCACCGUUUAAGAACGCCACAGAAUUCAUUCCCUUCAGAUACUGUCCGUGUGUGAGUUACACGUGCCAACUGCCAGGUAUUAGUUGUUUUUCCAGGCCCCAUUAAGGACUCUUCAUCCUGUCCAGCAAGAGGCAUUAAAGCUUUCACGAGUUAAAGUUGUUCCCAGCUCGGUGUUAUUCAAAGGCAAUUUACACUAAUUAUUCGAGUCCACAGCGUUACCCAUAUUAGCAGAACGAACCAUCUCAGCAGGCGCUCUACAAGCAUUCUUAUACAGUUGUAUACGCUCAUGCUCUGCCCUCCAGCCGCUCAAACGAUGAAGGUUAUCAAGGUGAAAAACAUCUAUUGAGAUGGAUGGAGAGGAGAGUGGGGCCCACCAGGAAGUGAGGUCGCAACUGACCAAACAAGCACGGUAAAAUAUUCACAAAGAUAAAUUAAAAAAAAAAAUCACAAAGCAUGGGGAAAGAGAACCGAAGGUUGAAAAAUAGCAAAUGUAAAAAGACCCCACGGCACACAAUAACAUCACACAUUCUGGGACCUGGAAAUUAAGUGGAAUAUCCCAGCAGUCCACAGCUGUCCACCCUGACAAGAUAAUAAAGGGGAGGGAGGCUAGAGAUAACACAGAGACUUAUCUCCAUUCAUAUGUCCUGGAAAUAUCGUGGACCCUGCAUUUUUGAGGCCUCCAAACUCUUUGAUCACCUAUCCGCACACACCCCUCACAAAGGUUUGAUCAUCACCUUCCUAUCUAGCUAUUAUGUGUUCCUCUGUUUCAAGCUAUGUAGUGCUACCCAGUAUUACUUGCUGUGCUCCCCAAAUGUUGGUUCUAAUAUUUCUCCCAUGCCAACGGAAUGUUGACCAUGUCAAAUGCCACCAAGUUGAUGGGGUCCAAGGACAUCCCCGUAUACCAUUACUGUCCAUCUCUGCAAGACUUAUAUUCCUCCAUCUCCUCUUGCCACCAGAGGCCUGACCACUCUCUAAGGGUCCUGACCCAGUCAGAACAAAACCAAAUGAGGUCCAAAGCAAUUCCAGCCAGCGGGACAGCCUGUCCUGUAUGUCCUCUGCCCACAGGGAACCUGGGUCUGUAUCCCAGAAUAUCUCUUCCCGUCUCUUUUGAGUUGAAUGCAUUUGUGAACCACUGCCAAGAUCCCCAAGAGUAUCCAUAAAUUCUAGAACCUAGAAUAUAGCUAGAUAUACAACAAGUCCCUAUGGGUUAACAUGUAGGUCAAUUAACAUAUGAUAUAACCAAAAUGAAUUCUGGUAGAAAUAAAAAUGUGAAAGUUAAAAUAAA
rnacentral:lncRNA from 1 species